UACGUAGGGUGCGAGCGUUGUCCGGAAUUAUUGGGCGUAAAGAGCUCGUAGGCGGUUUGUCGCGUCGGCUGUGAAAACCUAGGGCUCAACUCUGGGCUUGCAGCCGAUACGGGCAAACUAGAAUUCGGUAGGGGAGACUGGAAUUCCUGGUGUAGCGGUGAAAUGCGCAGAUAUCAGGAGGAACACCUGUGGCGAAAGCGGCUCACUGGACCACAACUGACGCUGAGGCGCGAAAGCUAGGGGAGCAAACAGG
rnacentral:rRNA from 1 species